ACAGAAGGGCUAUUCGAGACUCAACCCAACCGACAGGGGUCAGUAGCUCCUGGACCCAGCUCCACCUGACUAAUCUCCAGAAAGCGGGCGGGCACACUCAGGACGUGCUCUCCGGCUGGCAAGAGAUUUUAUUUAUUCGAGAGUGAGUGAGAGGACGAGAGCGGGGUGAGGAGCAGAGGGAGAAGCAGACUCCCCACUGAGCAGGAUCAUGACCUGAACCGAAAGCAGCCGCUUAACUGACUGACUGAGCCACCCAGGCGCCCCUUGAGUCCCAUUUCUGUGACAAGACCAGGAACUUUCCAAGAAGCAGGCAAAAUAAAUGAAGGGGAAGCAAGAGGUUAAUACGGCAUCAUGCUUCAGUUACUCCUCUACAGAUGAACCCCAGGGAAAUCAUGGUAGCCAGUGGGACCAACAGUUUUACUAAUAAGAGGAACGUGUGGUAGGAGCAAGGGUGACCUACACACUGUAUGGAAUGAUGAUGCGUCAGGAGCACCUCAGGACCUAAAAGCCCACUGCAGGGAUCAGACCCAUCAAACUGCCAGGGAGAGUCUAAUGGAAGAAUCGUCCUGGUACUCCAAGGAAAGAGUCCAGUCCCAGGGCUCCUGCAGCCGGACUCGGGGAGGUGUUGCCGGUAGUGGUGACUUCGGAAAGGUGUGCCAUGGGGACAGUAUGCCAUUUCCAAUGUCUGUGCCUUUAAAAUAUUUUAUUACUGGUCCAAAUGUCUGAAGACAUUUUAAAUGGGAAGGAAAAACAUUAUUUCCUGGACUGAAAUUCUCUGGAUCUUUAGAUUCUGUUCCUGCCCAGGUGUGGGAGAGGGUAUCUGUCAAUAGGUCGGAUCUAAGCUGGAAGGCUCCUGUCAUUAUUAAUGCAGCUUAGCCAUCUCUAGGAAAAAGGCAGCAAAUAAUUUGGAUCCCUCUAUGUAGUUCCACCUAACAAAGGAAAAAAUAAAGAGAAACACUUAUUUCCAUUCAAAUGAUGGGGAAAAGUAGCCUACCAUGUAAAUAGGAAGAUUUGGUGAUGUGAAUGCAAUCUAAAGUACGUAGCACAUCGGAAGGUUAUGAUGUGGAGACCCGGGGUCUGUGCAGUGAAGGACUGGCCCCCCACAGGAAUCCACUAACCUGUUGAUUUUCUCAUUCUGAGAGUGCUCCCCGUCAUCAACAGCGCCCAGCGGGAACAUCAUCACACUCUUUUGGAUGGUAUCCUGGAAUAUUCUGGCAAUUGGUAUGGUUGAUCCAUCCCGGAUCAUGUCUGGCUCUGUUCCAAACACUGAAGCACAGGGAAAGAAGGCAUUUGAAUAAAAUAACGACAAGACUACCCCGAGUCAUCUUCUCAAAUGUAGUGUUUGCUUUAUCUUUCCCUUUUUCUUUUUCUUUUUCUUUUUUAUUUAACCCUUAAAUUUGGUGCCUGGGGUAAGUAAGCUUCUUGAUACCAUGCAGUUUAUAUUCUAAAAUAGUCAAUAGAGUCAGGUUGCAUUCUUUACAAUUACCUACUUCAAAAAAAAAAUAAUUUUUAUUGUGAAUUAUAGAUUUUAUAGAAAAGUUGCAAAAAAAGUACAGAGAGAGUUCCCAUAUGUUCCUUACUUUACUUUCUGUAAUGUUAACAUCUUAUAUAACUAUUGUACAGUUAUAAAGAAUAGGAAGUUAACAUCAGAAUAAUAUCAUUAACUCGAUUCAGACCUUAUUUAAAUUUCACCAAUCCUUCCCUUUUGCCAUUCCAGGAUCCAAUCCAGAAUCCCACACUGUGUUUUGUCACUGCUUCUUACUCUCCUCUGGUCUGUGACAGUUUCUCAGCCUCUCCUUGUCUUUCAUGACCUUGACCCUCUUGAAGAGUACUGAGCAGUUGUUUUGUAAAGUGUCUCUUCAUUUGGGUUUGUUUGAUAUUUUCUCAUGAUUGGAAGAGGUCAUGCAUUUCUGGCACAAGCAUUAGAAGACAAUGUACCUCCUUUUAUGGUUGCUUCAUGAAUUAAAUAUUUGGAAAGUGGGACUUCUUUGGUUUUGUAACCAGUAUACAAAUAAACAGCUGUACUCAACUAUCACCUGAAUGGUGCAGGGUUUGUGCUCUACUGUCAAGGUAUCCCAGGAAAUAGCUUUAAUGGAUAUCCUAGGGCCUAAGGAGCGAUGACUUCAAACCUUCCAGGCAAGAAGUUGAGUUGUCAGUGAUGGAGGAGAGAUGCAAAAUAAAAUGAAGACACGAAUGAUAUCAUGCCGUGUCUUUAUCCACAGAGCAACGUGUGAACGUGAGGAAAGAUGAUGUACCUCGUUGGAAGAACUGGUUUCACAGAGAAUAAACCAAAAGGUGCCUUAUGCAUUCCUGUAAGAGUAUCUCAGGUCUUUACUGUUGACCUUGACAUUUCAAUCACACAUCACUCUUCAGCUGGGAUUACAUUUACCUUCCUAAUAACUUUUCUUCCUCCGUUCUUGACUUCCAAAUUUUACUGGUAAAAUACUGCUACAGCUGGGACCAGGAGGAAUGAUCAUGCAGAGAAGUAGGGCUCUAAGUCUCAGACCUGUCCUCUAACUUUUAAUGUCUCUGUCCUUUGUACAGAUAACCCUGAUAAGAUGUUAGUGCUGCCAGAUGGUCUGGACCUCCAGUCCCAGCUCUGCUCUGUUAGGGAUGCGGCCUGAGGCCUCAUCUGCGAUAGAGUACCACUUACUUUGUAAACUUGGGAAGGCUGUGGGGAGAGGUCAGGAGACUGUGAAGAGCCCUGGGCAGAGCUGUUGACUCUCAGUAACAGAGCCUCUCUGAAAAGGAGAGCUAAACCGAAAUUCUGAAUGAGCCCGCUUUCUCCACUGCCCCGCCAGGCACCGAGCCCUGGAACCACUGAAAACUGGCAACUCGAGGCAUCGCACGUCUAACCUGUUUUGAUGGCUCUCUUUGCUGCAAGAUACUGUUUAUCUUUAAUAUUUGCGAUCCAUGGCUGUAGUCCUAGCGUCAUAGAAACAGCCAUCUGGUUGGAACUAUUUCUUUUGGAGAAUAUAUAUUCAAGAUGCUGCUUCACCUGAAAAGGAACAUUUUCAGUGGUAAGAGAAAAUUUCAAGUUAUUCUCCCAUGUAGUAGUCUUUCAUCAAGAAACUGAAAUCCCAGCCCAACAAAUUCGAGUGUCGUGAUUUUACCCUCAUUCUCGCAGAGGGCCUCUGGGACUGAGAGCUUCAGCAGUGAGAGAAACACUGGUCUCACGCCCCUUCUAUCUGUGGACCCUCCAUUCCUCAGCCCUGCGCCCACCCCAUCCUGACCACAGUGUCAGAUUUCUAAUGUUUGGUAAUUAUGAAACACAAUACAACUUCUCAAUUUGAAUAUCCUUCUUUUCGGACUUGUACCUUAAUGACUAUUUUGGGAAUAUUAGACAUUUGUUAAUUCCUGAAAGGGGGGGGGGGCAAUUCCAAACUAGGCUAUAAUGGAGCCUUUUGUCAGCAUCCUUCUCUGUCCCCUGGGCUCCAUUCCAGUGGCCACCAUGGAAAUCCUCCCAAGAAAAAUUCCACACUCUGAAAUAUUCCGCCCAUUCAUUCCUUUGACAAUUGUUGAAUGCCUGUCAUGUUGGCAUGAAUGUUUCUAGGUGCUGGGAUCACAGCUGUGAGCAAGACCGGGGUGGGGCUGGGGCUGGGGGCUCCCCUGGUGGAAUCCGUAUGUUGUAAGAAAGAGAAACAAUACAUCCAAAAUGGGAGGGCGGGUGGGGAGAAAACAGGGACAGAGACAGGAAGGAGGGCAUUUUAGGAUGUAAUUAGCGCUAAGAAGACAAUAAAAGAGGUCAAUGGCAGAUAGAGAUUUGGGAUGAGGUGUUCUUGGAGCUCAUUUAUUCAGAGCCUACUUUCUGUUGAACUUGAGGUAAACUGAUGAUAGUUUGAUAAUUUAGACAUAAAACUCCUUCCAGAUAACAUUUUCAUUGAAGUGGCUGCUUUCAGAGAGUUGACUGCAGACCCCAAGGGCAAACUAACUAUGGGUUUGAGCAUUUCCAGCUCCAUCCCGCCGUAGGCAGUCAGUUUCCCCAUCUGUGUGUAAACCAAUCUUGCCUUUAUGUCAACUGUUUAAUGUAAAACUACGUCCCAUCACUCCAGCCCCAAACAGUUAUUUAUCUGACUACUGUAAUUGCAUAUAAUUACGGAAAGAGAUUUUUACGGAACAAAAAUUAUAUUGGUUUCUUGACAUUUGUUCCAGUCCCUUUCAUAUUCGGGGAAAAAAAUGGAACUUCAGUGCUAACAACCGAAUAGCUCACUACCCUGGGAUGCGACACUCGAAACGUGCCGUAGUGAGAACAAUGCAAAUGUGUUACCUGUUUUUCCACCACAGAUGUAUUCAUGUGAGGGACCAGACGGAUUGAAAAUUUUCCUAUAACUUGGCCAGGGAUGACCGUUUUAGCUCCAGGCUCAUCAAAUGCGCCCUCAAUCCCAUGGAUUGAAAGAGAUGGGUACCUCCAUAGGUGCAUUAGAAUCUCCUCCUGAAUUCAAAUAAAAUUAUUUUACUAUAUAAAAGAUUGUUCCAUUAAAACUCUGUUGAAUUGCA